CAGCCUCCUGAAUGAGGACCAGGAGGAGGUGAGUGAUGCGGCCGCACCUUCGCUCAAAGGAGUUCACAUGCCUUCCGAGUCCGCCUCAUCUCUCAACCCGCUUUUUCCUGUUCGCAUUUCACUCCUUUCUACCUUCCUUGUGCCCAUUCUAUCUUUUGCUUCUGCCUAUCCACGACAGCUCCUUAUUCGCCGUUUCUCUCCCUUAAUUUCACUCAUCCUUGGGCCCCUUCCACCUCUGAUCUGGCAGCGGACAUUGCUCAGGGAACCAAACCUAUGUAUGGCAUUUAUUUACUCAGGGUUAUUUGUGAGCAAGUUUUUAUUCUCCACUAGACUGGGUUGUGGAAAGGAGGAGCCUGAUUUUAUUCAUUACAGAAAUCGCAGUGCUUAGCACUUAGUAAGCGUUCGAUCAUUGUGUGAAUGGAUGAAGAGAUCGGUUUGAGAUAACAGGAUGUGUAAAUGGAAAUUCUUUGUAGAGAGUUGGGAACCAUUGAGAUUAAGGGUUUUAGACUGGGGAGGAGAAAACCUUCCCCCAAGACCUGAUGGGAUGAAUGUAGGAACAGUGAUGUGGGCACCUGCAACUGCCCAUGAGGCUGCUUUGAGAAAGGUCUUGUGAAGUGGUUUCAAUCUUGACAUUGAAGAAUGAGGGAGAGUGAGAUCAGUUGUGCUCUAAUGAAAGUGAGAACUGGGAUGGAAAAAUAGUUUAAGGAAAGGUUUUAAUUACUGCUGUAUAAGUAUUCAUACCUCCUAGGUGCUUUGACUGUUAAAAAAAAUGAGAAAUUUACAAACAUUACAGGCAUCUAGGGGCAGGUUGAAAUUACAACUUUUGGGAGAUGUCUUGAUGAUUGUUUUUCUUCCAGCAGUGGGACAUAAAGCACAGUGAGAAGGAGAAUAGUGGCUGGAUUCAGACAGCCUGAGUUUGAAGCCCUGCUUUGCCACUUAAUACCUAUAUGACCUUGGGUGUCAAGAAUUUACCUGAGCUACUCACGGUAUUGCUGCCUCAGCGUCCAUUUUAUUUGCAGGACUUUCGGGGACCCUAAACUGAUGUAAGCACAUGCCCCAGAUAGAGUCACAAGCAAAUCUAAGUUCCUGAUAUGACUUCCCCAGCAGCCCUUUGAUCUACAGUCUCCCUGGCUUCCAGUGCCUGUGUGCAAUAUUGCCCCCUUAGAGAAGACCCAGUGGGGCUUAUCCAAAUCCCUACUCUUUUGGUUUAAAUUGACCAGUCUGACCCUAGCCUGGGAACCCCAAAGUACUCCAUUCAGAGACCCUAAUAAAGGCAUGUCCCAAGUCCUGACACUCUCUGCCUGCACCCUACCUUGCCUUCCCCCUGUGGUCCCUUAAGGUGUCCUGGGUACUUUCUCCAGGACCUGUGAGUAAUAAACUACUCUAUUUCAAUUUCUCUUAUGGACUGUUGUUGAACAUUGGCUCACCAUCUGGCAUGCUAUCCUCCGCUUAGCAGAUGUUAAUUUAAGAAAGUCAAGACAUUGGGCAAAUUACUUAACCUCUCCAAGCUGCAUUUCUUUUUCUUUUCUUUUCUUUCACUUUUUAGGGCUGCACCCUAGGCAUAUGGAAGUUCCCAGGCUAGGGAUCAAAUUGGAUCUGCAACUGCUGGCUACACCACAGCCACACCAGAUCCGAGCCGCAUCGUUUCUUCACCUGUAAAAAGGGGGAUAAAAAUAGUGAUCACAUUUUUAGGAAAUGUUUCCCCCUGAAUAAAGAAGUAAAAAAUAACUUACCCAUGAAACCAAAUACAUUUAUUUUGUAAGGAUUUAAAAACAAAAAACAAAAUAGAGGAGUUCCCUGGUAGCCUAGUAGUUAAGAAUUUGGCAUUCUUGCUGUUAUGGCUCAUGUUGAUCCCAAGCCUGGAAACUUCCAUAUACCUUAGACAGCAGCCAAAACAAAACAGAGACAUAAGCAGCUAAACUGUGGGGACUUUAGCUUCUGGUUUUUUUUUUUUCCAGUUUAUGGGUAAUAGCAAAUAUUAAACAGAAGAAAUGACAAACAUAAUAAAACAGAAAUUUUUAAAAUGUUCUCCAAAGAGCAGAUAUACAGUGUACUCCUUUUCCAAAAAGGAAGUAAAGGGAAAACAGAAAACCCUUUAUCUCAUUGAAUACAGCUUUUGUCACAUAGAACUUUGCAGAGCUCCCCUUAUUUUCUACUUCUUCUGGUGCUUCAUAUUUUAGAAGUGUCUUUACUAAUUCCUGGGUUUCUGAAAACUAAAAUUUUAACCAAGUUGGAACAGACUUCUUUUUCCUUUCAUAAAUAUGCAUAAACAAAUGAAGUAACUCCCAAAUGUGAGACUGUUUCUGGGACAUAUUGCAGAAGAUGAAAUGAGCAGUUAGGGGCUAUGUCAUGCAUGUGGCAGAAGGGAUGCACUUGACAGCCUACCCAGGCUGUCUGUAGUCUGCACCAUUUGAUAGUUCUAUCAGAACAUCAGAUCCUAAGUGUUGAGUUUACAUUUACACCAUUUUAUUAAAGUUUAAAACAUAAAGGGAGAAUAGAUAACUGGACUUGUUGAAUUUGAAUAUGUAUAAAUUUGAAUAUGUUUAAGUCCAGAAUGUGUGUGUGUGUAUAUAUAUGUAAACAAAAUUCAGCUACUGAGUUAUAAUUUACAUGCCCGUAUCUUCUGGAAAAUUGAGUGAGAGGGGAUUAGAAAAUUGGGAGCUCCUUAAAGUAUGAGAACUUUCUCCAAAGAAUCUUGUUAUAGGCUGAACUGUGUGCCCCCAGAUUUCCUAUGUUGAAGCCCUAACCCUCAGAGUUACUGUAUUAGGCAACAGGACCUUUAAGGAGGUAAUUAUGGUUAAAUAAAUUCUUAAGGAUGAGGCCCUAAUUCAGUUCUCCCUCUUUGCCCCCCUCCCCUGAGGACAUAGGAGAGGCCCCAUGAGGCAGUCUACAAGCCAGGAAGAGAGAUCUCACCAGAAACCAACCCUGAUGGCACCCUGAUCUUGGAUUUCAAACCUCCAGAAUGCCUGAAGUUUCACAUGAGGAAGACAGCAUGAAGAAAGUCAACGUCUGACUGUGUCUUUUCAAUGAUCCAUUAAUCUGAACCAUGAGGUUGCAGGUUCGAUCCCUGGCCUUGCUCAGUGGGUUAAGAAUCUGGCGUUACUGUGAGCUGUGGCAUAGGUCACAGACACGGCUCGGAUCUGGCGUGGCUGUGGCUGUGGCUGUGGCUGUGGCCGGCAGCCACAGCUCCGAUUCAACCCCUAGCCUGGGAACCUUCAUGUGCCACAGGUGCAGCCCUAAAAAUUUUAGACCAAAAAAAAAAAAAAAAAAAAGAAAGAAAGAAAGAAAAGGGAGAGCAGUGAACAGAAUUUACAGCAUCUAGAAUAAAACUAGGUGAAUGUUUGGAUGCCAUGUUCCUAUAAAGUCCAAUGAAGAGUAGAUUCUUAGGAAGAUUCCUUUAGUGUCUAGGAUUGUGUCUGAGCUCCUCAUCAUGAAUGGAGCACCGCCCCAUCUUGCAACACACUGUUCUCUCACUAGAGACCCUCCCGACCCCAUCUUGCAUGUGUAUAUAUCUGAGAAAUGCAGAGCCUAGUAAUAGUGACUCAGGGAUGUCACCUCAUGAAAAGAGAUCUCCUUGACAUUCCUUAGCAGUUCUUUCUUUCUUUCUUUUCUUUUUAGG